rnacentral:rRNA from 1 species
GAUGAACGCUGGCGGCGUGCCUAAUACAUGCAAGUCGAGCGAACGGACGAGAAGCUUUCUUCUCUGAUGUUAGCGGCGGACGGGUGAGUAACACGUGGAUAACCUACCUAUAAGACUGGGAUAACUUCGGGAAACCGGAGCUCAUACCGGAUAAUAUUUUGAACCGCAUGGUUCCAAAGUGAAAGACGGUCUUGCUGUCACUUAUAGCUGGAUCCGCGCUGCAUUAGCUAGUUGGUAAGGUAACGGCUUACCAAGGCAACGAUGCAUAGCCGACCUGAGAGGGUGAUCGGCCACACUGGAACUGAGACACGGUCCAGACUCCUACGGGAGGCAGCAGUAGCGAAUCUUCCGCAAUGGGCGGAAGCCUGACGGAGCCACGCCGCGUGAGUGAUGACGGUCUUCGGAUCGGAAAACUCUGUGACUGGGGAAGAACAUAUGUGGAAGUAGCUGGGCCCACCGUGACGGUACCUAAUCAGAGAGGCGCGGCGAACUACGUG